rnacentral:lncRNA from 1 species
AUAAUUAAAGUGCGGAAGUAAAAUAAAUGUUCAAGGUUUACAUUCCUUACACAAUAACUUAAAGUACCAAUUAGUGUUACGGAAUUCACCCUUUUGAAAGAAAUACAAAGAAAUAAGGAAAUGAACGGAAAAUAAAGAAAACUAGCAUUCUACUCGCAACCCUCUUGCAAAUCAGGUUUUGGAUCCUGGUUCUCUUAAUUUGAAAUGGUUAAAUAAGGGAUGAGCUCUUUGCCCCUUUUUCCACCAGCCUGCUGGUAUCCAUGGGGGUUCAUAGGGAUGUCCCCACUACGCGUGAACCUUUCCCUUUAGCAUUAUCAAUUACAUGCCAUCCCCAU